rnacentral:rRNA from 1 species
CGGGUGAGUAACACGUAUCCAACCUGCCGUCUACUCUUGGACAGCCUUCUGAAAGGAAGAUUAAUACAAGAUGGCAUCAUGAGUCCGCAUGUUCACAUGAUUAAAGGUAUUCCGGUAGACGAUGGGGAUGCGUUCCAUUAGAUAGUAGGCGGGGUAAGGGCCCACCAAGCCGACGAUGUCUAGGGGUUCUGAGAGGAAGGUCCCCCACACUGGAACUGAGACACGGUCCAG